AUUUCAAAAUGGUAUUAAAAAGCCCCAGUAGGGGGUUUUUGGAGUUUUGCAGAUGAUGAUCUAUAAGCAUCUGUGUCUGCAAAUAUCCUGUUUUCUUGUUACAAUCAUCCUGGCAUCUUUAAUGGAAUCAGCUAAGCAGGUUGAUCCAAGGCCAUACAGCUGCAUUGCAUUAAAGAUGAUGUUGAAUGCAGGCAAUUAAACCUCUGAGCUGGGCACAGGAGAGGGGGCAGAGAUGCUGCGGGAAUUGGGCUGGGAAAAAAGGGGCUGGGGCAGCUGCUAGCUCCUUCUUGCUCACCUGGCAUUUGGAAGGGAAGGAGGCUGUAGUCGCUGCAGGAAGAAUUCACCACAACUGUGGGGUUCCGUCUCCUGCUGCCUGCUACGGACUCUUCACCAUCUGCUACAGCUGUGGAGUUUCUGCUACCUCUUGCUUGCUGCCUUGGUGAGCCCGCCCUGCUGUUCCAGCCGCUGCUGCGGGCUCCUGCUGCAGCGCAUUGCCGCCAUUCAGCCCGGCCGCC